rnacentral:rRNA from 1 species
CCUACGGGAGGCAGCAGUGAGGAAUAUUGGUCAAUGGCCGGAAGGCUGAACCAGCCAUGCCGCGUGAAGGUCAGUGCCCUAUGGGCGUUAAACUUCUUUUGUGCGGGAGCAAUAAUGGUCACGUGUGGCCAGACGAGAGUACCGUACGAAUAAGCAUCGGCUAACUCCGUGCCAGCAGCCGCGGUAAUACGGGGGAGGCAAGCGUUAUCCGGAUUUAUUGGGUUUAAAGGGUGCGUAGGCUGUGAGGUAAGUCAGCGGUGAAAUGCCCCCGCUCAACGGGGUGAAGUGCCAUUGAUACUGCCUGGCUGGAAUGCGGAUGCCGUGGGAGGAAUGUGUGGUGUAGCGGUGAAAUGCAUAGAUAUCACACAGAACACCGAUUGCGAAGGCAUCUCACGAAUCCGCGAUUGACGCUGAUGCACGAAAGCGUGGGUAUCAAACAGGAUUAGAUACCCGUGUAGUC